rnacentral:rRNA from 1 species
GACGAACGCUGGCGGCGUGCUUAACACAUGCAAGUCGAACGGAAAGGCCCUGCUUUUGUGGGGUGCUCGAGUGGCGAACGGGUGAGUAACACGUGAGUAACCUUCCCUUGACUUUGGGAUAACUUCAGGAAACUGGGGCUAAUACUGGAUAGGAGCUCCUGCUGCAUGGUGGGGGUUGGAUAGUUUCGGCGGUUGGGGAUGGACUCGCGGGUUAUCAGCUUGUUGGUGGGGUAGUGGCUUACCAAGGCUUUGACGGGUAGCCGGCCUGAGAGGGUGACCGGGAAAAGUGGGACUGAGAUACGGCCCAGAGUCCUACGGGAGGCAGGAGUGGGGAAUAUUGCACGAUGGGCGGAAGCCUGAUGCAGCAACGCCGCGUGCGGGAUGACGGCCUUCGGGUUGAAAACCGCUUUCGCAUGUGACGAAGCGUGAGUGACGGUACUGUGUAAAGAAGCACCGGCUAACUACGUG